rnacentral:rRNA from 1 species
GACGAACGCUGGCGGCGUGCUUAACACAUGCAAGUCGCACGGAAAGGCCUCUUUCGGGGGGUACUCGAGUGGCGAACGGGUGAGUAACACGUGAGUAACCUGCCCUUGACUUUGGGAUAACUUCAGGAAACUGGGGCUAAUACCGGAUAGGAGCUCCUGCUGCAUGGUGGGGGUUGGAAAGUUUCGGCGGUUGGGGAUGGACUCGCGGCUUAUCAGCUUGUUGGUGGGGUAGUGGCUUACCAAGGCUUUGACGGGUAGCCGGCCUGAGAGGGUGACCGGCCACAUUGGGACUGAGAUACGGCCCAGACUCCUACGGGAGGCAGCAGUGGGGAAUAUUGCACAAUGGGUGGAAGCCUGAUGCAGCAACGCCGUGUGCGGGAGGACGGCCUUCGGGUUGGAAACCGCUUUCGCUCAUGACGAAGCUUUGUGUGACGGUAGUGGGUAAAGAAGCACCGGCUAACUACGUG